rnacentral:rRNA from 1 species
UACCAGCUCUCCGAGUGGUAGGGAUGAUUAUUGGGCUUAAAGCGUCCGUAGCCGGCUUAGCAAGUCUCCUGUUAAAUUCAGCGACCUAAUCGUUGAGCCGCGGGAGAUACUACUAGGCUAGGAGGCGGGAGAGGUCAACGGUACUUCCGGGGUAGGGGUGAAAUCCUAUAAUCCCGGGAGGACCACCAGCGGCGAAGGCUGUUGACUAGAACGCGCUCGACGGUGAGGGACGAAAGCUGGGGGAGCGAACCGGAUUAGAUACCCGGGUAGUCCCAGCUGUAAACGAUGCGAGCUAGGUGUUGGGGUGGCUACGUGCCACUUCAGUGCCGCAGGGAAGCCAUUAAGCUCGCCGCCUGGGGAGUACGGCCGCAAGGCUGAAACUUAAAGGAAUUGGCGGGGAGCACCACAAGGGGUGAAGCUUGCGGUUU